rnacentral:rRNA from 1 species
AAAUUGAAGAGUUUGAUCAUGGCUCAGAUUGAACGCUGGCGGCAGGCCUAACACAUGCAAGUCGAACGGUAACAGGAAGCAGCUUGCUGCUUCGCUGACGAGUGGCGGACGGGUGAGUAAUGUCUGGGAAACUGCCGAUGGAGGGGGAUAACUACUGGAAACGGUGGCUAAUACCGCAUAACGUCGCAAGACCAAAGAGGGGGACCUUCGGGCCUCUUGCCAUCAGAUGUGCCCAGAUGGGAUUAGCUUGUUGGUGAGGUAACGGCUCACCAAGGCGACGAUCCCUAGCUGGUCUGAGAGGAUGACCAGCCACACUGGAACUGAGACACGGUCCAGACUCCUACGGGAGGCAGCAGUGGGGAAUAUUGCACAAUGGGCGCAAGCCUGAUGCAGCCAUGCCGCGUGUAUGAAGAAGGCCUUCGGGUUGUAAAGUACUUUC